rnacentral:rRNA from 1 species
CUCAGGAUGAACGCUAGCUACAGGCUUAACACAUGCAAGUCGAGGGGAAACGACAUCGAAAGCUUGCUUUUGAUGGGCGUCGACCGGCGCACGGGUGAGUAACGCGUAUCCAACCUGCCCACCACUUGGGGAUAACCUUGCGAAAGUAAGACUAAUACCCAAUGAUAUCUCUAGAAGGCAUCAGAAAGAGAUUAAAGAUUUAUCGGUGAUGGAUGGGGAUGCGUCUGAUUAGCUUGUUGGCGGGGUAACGGCCCACCAAGGCGACGAUCAGUAGGGGUUCUGAGAGGAAGGUCCCCCACAUUGGAACUGAGACACGGUCCAAACUCCUACGGGAGGCAGCAGUGAGGAAUAUUGGUCAAUGGGCGAGAGCCUGAACCAGCCAAGUAGCGUGCAGGAUGACGGCCCUAUGGGUUGUAAACUGCUUUUAUAAGGGAAUAAAGUGAGUCUCGUGAGACUUUUUGCAUGUACCUUAUGAAUAAGGACCGGCUAAUUCCGUGCCAGCAGCCGCGGUAAUACGGAAGGUCCGGGCGUUAUCCGGAUUUAUUGGGUUUAAAGGGAGCGUAGGCCGGAGAUUAAGCGUGUUGUGAAAUGUAGACGCUCAACGUCUGCACUGCAGCGCGAACUGGUUUCCUUGAGUACGCACAAAGUGGGCGGAAUUCGUGGUGUAGCGGUGAAAUGCUUAGAUAUCACGAAGAACUCCGAUUGCGAAGGCAGCUCACUGGAGCGCAACUGACGCUGAAGCUCGAAAGUGCGGGUAUCGAACAGGAUUAGAUACCCUGGUAGUCCGCACGGUAAACGAUGGAUGCCCGCUGUUGGUCUGAAUAGGUCAGCGGCCAAGCGAAAGCAUUAAGCAUCCCACCUGGGGAGUACGCCGGCAACGGUGAAACUCAA